UGGGGAAUAUUGGACAAUGGGGGAACCUGCAUCCAGCCAUGCCGCGUGUGUGAAGAAGGCCUUAUGGUUGUAAAGCACUUUAAGCGAGGAGGAGGCUCUUCUAGUUAAUACCUAGGAUGAGUGGACGUUACUCGCAGAAUAAGCACCGGCUAACUCUGUGCCAGCAGCCGCGGUAAUACAGAGGGUGCGGGCGUUAAUCGGAUUUACUGGGCGUAAAGCGUGCGUAGGCGGCUUUUUAAGUCGGAUGUGAAAUCCCGAGCUUAACUUGGGAAUUGCAUUCGAUACUGGGAAGCUAGAGUAUGGGAGAGGAUGGUAGAAUUCCAGGUGUAGCGGUGAAAUUGCGUAGAGAUCUUGGAGGAAUACCGAUGGCGAAGGCAGCCAUCUGGCCUAAUACUGACGCUGAGGUACGAAAGCAUGGGGAGCAAACA
rnacentral:rRNA from 1 species